AUUGAACGCUGGCGGCAGGUCUAACACAUGCAAGUCGAACGAGUGGCGGACGGGUGAGUAAUGUCUGGGAAACUGCCUGAUGGUGGGGGAUAACUACUGGAAACGGUAGCUAAUACCGCAUACCAUCGGAUGUGCCCAGAUGGGAUUAGCUAGUAGGUGGGGUAAAGGCUCACCUAGGCGACGAUCCCUAGCUGGUCUGAGUGGAUGACCAGCCACACUGGAACUGAGAAACGGUCCAGGCUCCUACGGAAGGCCGCAGUGGGGAAUAUUGCACAAUGGGGGAAAGCCGGAUGCAGCCAUGCCGCGUGUAUGAAGAAGGCCUUCGGGUUGUAAAGUACUUUCAGCGGGGAGGCGUUACCCGCAGAAGAGGCACCGGCUAACUCCGUGCCAGCAGCCGCGGUAAUUC
rnacentral:rRNA from 1 species